AGCUGCGUGGUGAGCACAAAGCGAACUAAUCUUUCGCGUUUUACUAAAGAACACCGUGUGCACGUCACAAUUAAGCAGCAUACGUUUGUUUUUAAGGGCUCACUUCUUUCAAAGGAGGGUC
rfam:Brachypodium distachyon strain Bd21 chromosome 1, whole genome shotgun sequence.